GAGUUUGAUCAUGGCUCAGAACGAACGCUGGCGGCGCGUCUUAAGCAUGCAAGUCGAACGGUAAGGGAGAGCUUGCUCUCCCCUAGAGUGGCGGACUGGUGAGUAACGCGUAGGUGACCUACCCUGAAGAUGGGGAUAGCUAGUAGAAAUAUUAGAUAAUACCGAAUAAGCUCAUUUGCAUAAAGGCAGAUGAGGAAAGGAGCUACGGCUCCGCUUUAGGAUGGGCCUGCGUCCCAUUAGCUAAGUUGGUGAGGUAAAGGCUUACCAAGGCAACGAUGGGUAUCCGGCCUGAGAGGGUGAACGGACACAUUGGGACUGAGAUACGGCCCAAACUCCUACGGGAGGCAGCAGCUAAGAAUCUUCCGCAAUGGACGAAAGUCUGACGGAGCGACGCCGUGUGAAUGAAGAAGGCUGAAAAGUUGUAAAAUUCUUUUGCAGAUGAAGAAUAAGGAUAGGAGGGAAUGCCUAUCUGAUGA
rnacentral:rRNA from 1 species